ensembl:ribozyme RNaseP_nuc Nuclear RNase P
GGUGGAGAAAGCUCAUCAUCGGGGGCCCGUGCUGAGUGCUCAUCACUCCCAGGCCACUGGGAAGGUCUAAGACUGGGGCUUCCUGCAGCCCUAACUGGGCCCUCCCUGAGUGGAGAGGUGAGCUCCCAGAGAGCAGGGCUCCACACGGAUGCCUCCCUCACUUGGAACAGACUCACGACCAAUGCAGAGUGAGUUCAAUGGCUGAGGUGAGGUGCCUUGAUGGACAUCAUAACCCAAUUCAGACUACUCUUCCCCGCC